rnacentral:rRNA from 1 species
GACGAACGCUGGCGGCGCGCUUAACACAUGCAAGUCGAACGGAAAGGCCUGCUUUCCCUUGUGGAUUGCGGGUACUCGAGUGGCGAACGGGUGAGUAACACGUGAGUGAUCUGCCCCCAACUUGGGUAUAAGCCUGGGAAACUGGGUCUAAUUCCCGAUAGGACUGCAGGGUGGUGCCUGUGGUGGAAAACGAUUUUCUAGUGGUUGGGGAUGAGCUCGCGGCCUAUCAGCUUGUUGGUGGGGUAAUGGCCUACCAAGGCGGCGACGGGUAGCCGGCCUGAGAGGGGGGACGGCCACAUUGGGACUGAGAUACGGCCCAGACUCCUACGGGAGGCAGCAGUGGGGAAUAUUGCACAAUGGGCGGAAGCCUGAUGCAGCGACGCCGCGUGGGGGAUGACGGCCUUCGGGUUGUAAACUCCUUUCGACCGCGAGGAAGCCACCUGGUUGGAAGGGUGGUGACGGUAGUGGUAGAAGAAGCACCGGCUAACUACGUG